rnacentral:lncRNA from 1 species
UCCAUGGAUUCCUCCAAGUUGUGUGAAUACCUCAUUUCUUUUUAUAGCUGAUUAGAAUACCAUGACUUCUAUGAAUUCAUAUCUGUGUAUGAUUCUAAAACAUAAAUACUGCUUCUGCUUCCUCACUUUUGAGCAGGAGCUAGUUGAUUGAGCAAAGAUAUUAUUAUUAUUAUUUUUGGUAGUUGUAGAUGGACAGCAUGCCUUUAUUUGUUUCGUUUUUUAUGCGGUGCUAAGGAUUCAACCCAGUGUCUUACACAUGCUAAGCAAAUGCUCUGCCACUGAGCUAUAUCCCCAGCCCCCUGAGCAAAGAUCUUAAUGAACUCUUAUAUCCUCUUUGAGUGAAAACUUAUGAAUUUCUCCAAGGUCUUUCUAUACCAAGAGUUUGUGAUUAUCUAAUCUAAGUGUAAUUGAACCUUGUAGUUCUAUAUAUUUACUUAAAAAUGGAGAAUAGAAUCACUGUACUCCUUUUUUAAAAAAAAGUAUUUUGUUUUAGUUUUAGUUGUAGCUGGACACAAUGCUUUUAUUUUAUUUUUAUGUGGUGCUGAGGAUCGAACCCAGGGUCCCAUACAUGCUAGGCGAGCACUCUACUGCUGAGCCACAACCCCAGCCCCUCACGUACACCUUUUUUCUCUGAACUCUCAUCCCUUUCUCGAAACUGUUUUGUUACUGCUAGUUGGCAAGGCAUAUUUUUAAAAUAAUUAAUAGCUGGGGAGAAAAAGACAAUAAUGGGGUGACUAGACGGUUAAGAUAUGUAGCCCAGUGUUAAGAGGAUAGGGUGAGCAAGCAAAAUUUCAAAGAAUAAUUUUUUUGUUUCUGUGACUUUCCUCUUCAGAUUAAAACACUCAUCCUCCUUAUUUGUCCUUUGCCCUUCUGCUGCUCUGUUGGCCUGGAACUUUUCAUUUGGGGCACUUCCUCUAUAAUGCCUGCUUGGACAUUGUCCUGCACACCCUCUCUCUUUUCCUGUUUCCAGUGCUUAAAUUCCCAUUUGUUUGAUGGCAUGUUUUGGGAGAAAAACACUUUGAAAAAACAAAUUUAC